rnacentral:rRNA from 1 species
AUUGAACGCUGGCGGCAUGCCUUACACAUGCAAGUCGAACGGCAGCACGGGUGCUUGCACCUGGUGGCGAGUGGCGAACGGGUGAGUAAUACAUCGGAACGUACCUUAUCGUGGGGGAUAACGCAGCGAAAGCUGUGCUAAUACCGCAUACGCCCUGAGGGGGAAAGCGGGGGAUCGCAAGACCUCGCGCGAUUAGAGCGGCCGAUGCCUGAUUAGCUUGUUGGUGGGGUAAAAGCCCACCAAGGCGACGAUCAGUAGCUGGUCUGAGAGGACGCGCAGCCACACUGGGACUGAGACACGGCACAGACUCCUUCGGGAGGCAGCAGUGGGGAAUUGUGGACAAUGGGGGCAACCCUGAUCCAGCAAUGCCGCGUGAGUGAAGAAGGCCCUCGGGUUGUAAAGCUCUUUUGUCAGGGAAGAAACACCGGCUCUAACACAGUCCGGGAAUGACGGUACCUGAAGAAUAAGCACCGGCUAACUACGUGCCAGCCGCCGCCGUAA